UUAAUAAUAUUGCUCUAAAAAAUAAAAUUUGCAGGAUAGUACAAAUACAAUAUAUAUGCAGCAGUAGCAGUUGAGGUAGUGAGGCGGUGGUGGCAGUGGUGGCGGUGGUGGCAAAGGUGGCGGUGGUAGCAAGCCAAUAGUAUUUGUGAUAUAUAAUGGUGUUUUAAUAUUAAUAAUAUUACUCUAAAAAAAUAAAAUUUGCAGGAUAGUACAAAUACAAUAUAUAUGCAGCAGUAGCAGUUGAGGUAGUGAGGCGGUGGUGGCGAAGGUGGCGGUGGUAGCAAGCCAAUAGUAUUUGUGAUAUAUAAUGGUGUUUUAAUAUUAAUAAUAUUACUCUAAAAAAAUAAAAUUUGCAGGAUAGUACAAUAUAUAUGCAGCAGUAGCAGUUGAGGUAGUGAGGCGGUGGUGGCAGUGGUGGCGAAGGUGGCGGUGGUAGCAAGCCAAUAAUAUUUGUGAUAUAUAAUGGUUGUUUUAAUAUUAGUAAUAUUGCUCUAAAAAAAUAAAAUUUGCAGGAUAGUACAAUAUAUAUGCAGCAGUAGCAGUUGAGGUAGUGAGGCGAAGGUGGCGAUGGUGGCGGUGGUAGCAAGCCAAUAAUAUUUGUGAUAUAUAAUGGUUGUUUUCAUAUUAAUAAUAUUGCUCUAAAAAAAUAAAAUUUGCAGGAUAGUACAAGUACAAUAUAUAUGCAGCAGUAGCAGUUGAGAUAGUGAGACAGCGGUGGCGAUGGUGGCAAUGGUAGUAUGGUGAAGGCAGGGCCAUUCCUAGCACGAUAAUUGGG